rnacentral:rRNA from 1 species
GACGAACGCUGGCGGCGUGCUUAACACAUGCAAGUCGAACGGAAAGGCCCUGCUUUUGUGGGGUGCUCGAGUGGCGAACGGGUGAGUAACACGUGAGUAACCUGCCCUUGACUUUGGGAUAACUUCAGGAAACUGGGGCUAAUACCGGAUAGGAGCUCCUGCUGCAUGGUGGGGGUUGGAAAGUUUCGGCGGUUGGGGAUGGACUCGCGGCUUAUCAGCUUGUUGGUGGGGUAGUGGCUUAUCAAGGCUAUGACGGGUAGCCGGCCUGAGAGGGUGACCGGCCACAUUGGGACUGAGAUACGGCCCAGACUCCUACGGGAGGCAGCAGUGGGGAAUAUUGCACAAUGGGCGGAAGCCUGAUGCAGCAACGCCGCGUGCGGGAUGACGGCCUUCGGGUUGUAAACCGCUUUCGCCUGUGACGAAGCGUGAGUGACGGUAAUGGGUAAAGAAGCACCGGCUAACUACGUG